rnacentral:rRNA from 1 species
GACGAACGCUGGCGGCGUGCUUAACACAUGCAAGUCGAACGGAAAGGCCUUUUCGGCGGUACUCGAGUGGCGAACGGGUGAGUAACACGUGGGUGAUCUGCCCUGCACUCUGGGAUAAGCCUGGGAAACUGGGUCUAAUACCGGAUAGGACCGCACUUUAGUGUGUGUGGUGGAAAGUUUUUUCGGUGUAGGAUGAGCCCGCGGCCUAUCAGCUUGUUGGUGGGGUAAUGGCCUACCAAGGCGGCGACGGGUAGCCGGACUGAGAGGUUGGUCGGCCACAUUGGGACUGAGAUACGGCCCAGACUCCUACGGGGGGCAGCAGGGGGGAAUAUUGCACAAUGGGCGCAAGCCUGAUGCAGCGACGCCGCGUGGGGGAUGACGGCCUUCGGGUUGUAAACUCCUUUCGCCAGGGACGAAGCGUUUUGUGACGGUACCUGGAGAGGAAGCACCGGCUAACUACGUG